rnacentral:snoRNA from 1 species
GUAGGCAGCCUUUGAUGAAGCCUGUGUUGGUAGGGACACCUGAGGGUGAAAUGUGGC